CCACUCUCAGGGUCACACCUGGAGAGUUCCCAGUACUCUACCAGUCUCGACUAUGGGAGGGAGAGUCAAGCAGUGGCAUAUUCUUUCCAUUCUUAGCUUGGGCAGUAGCUAGGAAAUGGAAGGCAAGCUGCUACAAGU